GAUGGCACUUGCAUCUCUACAUACACACACAUAUGAAUAUGCACCUCGGUUUGGUUCAGUUUGCAUGUUUACAUUUGCUUUAACUUUGACUGAAACUAUCUUGGUGGCACUUGCAUCAAUGGUGUGUUCUGCCCUUGUAGAUGUCCUUGGAGAAGAUGGCCAUUGGAGUGUAGGGGGGGAACAACCUUGUCUUGCUCGAGGAGGAGGACCACCCGAUCUCGACGACGGCACGGCAACAGCCUUGUCUCCCCCACCACCGCCCCUCGACCUCCUCUCAUGCUGCUGUGGAGUCUUAGAAUGGGAAUGUUAUGUACAUAAAAAAUAUUCUAUGGUCUGUGUUUGCAAAUCCAUGGUUGUUGAAUCAUGUCUGUAUAAGCAUUUGUAAAUAGCUAGCCUUUUUGGCUAAUCUUUUUUUUUGGUUCUGGUGA